AUGUAAAUAAUUUUGAUACUGGUUGAUCUGAAACCUUCCGAUCAUCGUGCUCUAUUAUAAUGCCUCUAAGAAGUCCUGAAUCGUCUCUGUUGGCCAGAGUGCCGCAGGAAGACAAUGGACAACUGCCAAACGUGCGCAACUCUCGAAUAGAGAAAUAAUGUAUGCUACAUUGUCUCAUCCUCCAGACCGCACCCAAGACUGGAAGUCGAGAUGUCCAUCCCUCUGGCCCUUAACAAUAUCUUGGUGGGAAGACAGCUCCAAGCAACUUUCCAGAAGAAUAGAUGCACUC
rnacentral:lncRNA from 1 species